rnacentral:misc_RNA from 1 species
GAAAUGCGAUAAGUAAUGUGAAUUGCAGAAUUCAGUGAAUCAUCGAAUCUUUGAACGCACAUUGCGCCCGCCAGUAUUCUGGCGGGCAUGCCUGUUCGAGCGUCAUUACAACCCUCAGGCCCCCGGGCCUGGCGUUGGGGAUCGGCGGAAGCCCCCUGCGGGCACAACGCCGUCCCCCAAAUACAGUGGCGGUCCCGCCGCAGCUUCCAUUGCGUAGUAGCUAACACCUCGCAACUGGAGAGCGGCGCGGCCACGCCGUAAAACACCCAACUUCUGAAUGUUGACCUCGAAUCAGGUAGGAAUACCCGCUGAAGAUACGC